GAUUUAUAUUCAUAUUUUACCAUGGAAGUGCAAAGCUAUUUUGCAAAAAAACAAGCAUUUAAUGCAUUAAAACACAUUAUUAACCUUUUCAUUAAAAGGAAAGUUGACUGACACAGUCACAGACAACAAUUAUGCCAAGUGGAACAACUUGACCCAAUCGUAAUAAUUCGGCCACCUCCAACAAGCUUCGAGAAAAUACAAUCGUAACAACUCGGCCUUGGCCGAACAAUCUGAACACCUCAGCCAGUAUCCAACAGGGAUUGACUAUCUCGAAGCUUACCGAAGAUGGCGAGUUGUUACAAUUGAUGGCUCAAAUGUUCCGAUUGUUGUAAAAUUGUGAACUGCAGCCUUGCAGGUGCCCUUCAUGUAUAUAUUGUUAUGUUUUGACAGAAUGAAAUGAAGAAAAAACCAUCAAACUCAUAAUUAUUUGCUUGAUAUUACUUUUUGGUUACGGAAUUUAUAUAAAAUAACAUUAUCUGGUAAUAUUUCUUGUUUUUAUGAUACGUUAUAGAUGCAAUAUGCUUUAACCCGGAAUCCCGAUCGGAAUAACUACCCACUUUUCAUACAAAACAAUUUGUACGUGAAGGAUUUGCUGUAUCAAAAAUCGUAAAAAAAUCUGUCAACAUACAAUUAUUUGGACUAGAAGGUACAUCUAGCUGAUCUACAUCUCUUAGUCUAAAUAUUUGUACGUUGACGGACUCUUUUUACGAUUAAAAAAAAAUGUAUACAUAUAUAUAUAUAUAUAUAUAUAUGGCAAAUCCUUCACUACAACAUGUUCAUGUUACUUUCAAUUCAGAGUUGAUUAUUCACUAAAAUUAUUUCGGAUUUUAAUUGUUGUUUAACCUGAAACGUCUCAACCAUCAAAAAAGAACAUAUAUGCUUCAAUAGUCUAAAAAAAUAGACGUGUUGUAUGGGAUUCUUCCAAUCCCUUAUGUCUUAUCGGGUUUGUGCAAAACAGGGUGGGGGUUGAAAGAUAUUGAAAUCGUAGUUAGAUAAGUAUUAUAUGUUUGAAAUAGAUAUUAAAGGUUUAUAUUCGUAUUUUAGUUAUUACCAUGUAAGUGCAAAGAUUUUUUUCACAAAACAAGCAUUUAAUGCAUUUAAACACGACCAUUUUACAUCUAUGUAAAUCUAUGCACCGCAGCCUUGCAGGUGAUCUUCAUGUACAACAGUUUAUAUCAUUAUGUUUUGACAGUAUGAAAUGAAGAAAAACACUCAUCAAACUCAUAAUAAUUCGUCAGCUUUUAUUUUUUGUGUACAUAAUUCAUAUUUUAGAUAUAUAUAAUUAUCUGACCCGGAAUCCCAAUCGGAAUAGCUACCCACUUUUGGUGCAAAAAAAUUGUAUGUGAAGGAUAUGCCAUUUCAAAAUUUGUAAAAAGAUCAGUUAAGUUACUAUUAUAUGGACUAGUGCUUCAAGUGUUUGAUUUAUUGUCUCUAUAAUGUAUAAUGCACCUGUCAAUUGUAGAGCCAAGCUGGGAGCUGCCUAAAAAUCAGUUACCCAGUUAGCUCAGUUUGACAGAUCUCCAUGCAAGUGUUCACAUGGUCGUGGGUUCAAGCACCAUACCAGUAGCAUCUUUUCUCAAAGGUUUACUUUAGAACCCAUCAUCCAGGAGUAAACAAUUAUGAUUUUUUUAUUAAAUAUUACAGGCCAUGUUCUUUUGUAAACUUUCAGAUUGAGAAGUGCCUGGAUACAAGGCUAGUAUUGUUAACAUCAUCUGAUACAAUCAACUGGAACAAAGCUGAAAUGGCUGCCUGACCUGACUUAAAAAUUGGAUGGCAGUACAUCAGACUAGAAGAUUACAAGUAUUGAGGUGGACAAAAUGAAACCUGAGCCUACCAAAGCUGACAGAUUGCACAAGAAACACAUAAAUGCAGAUUGGAAGAUUCAUUCUCUGGAAAGUAGAAAGGGGCAUGUUACAUACUGUUAUCACUGCCAUGACAGAAACCAUAUUGAGGAGCUGGUCCACCUGUAGGAAGAAUUGCACUAUUGGUUGGAGCAGCACUAUUACCCAGCCAUACACCAGCACUUAGUUUGUCAUAGGGAGCAUUUCUGAGCAGUUAUGGAGACCACUAACUAUGCAGUUGUUGCAGUGAAACUUGCACCAGUGUGUUUUCUGUGGAGAUAAAGAGAUAGUGUCCAGCAAUGAAGACCCAACUCAAGAUCUGACCUUGUAAGGCCAAUAUGAAAUAACUGUGUGGGAAAAUGGGAAAAACCUGCAGUCAGGAAUGCACGGAAAUCAUCAAAAGAACAGUGUUAAAUUAAUCUUGAAUAACUUGACAUUUAUUUUGUUUGACAUAUUUAUUCAUGGUGCAGUGAAAACAUUCUUUUUUUCUCAUGGUUAUUUAAAUUUAGAAUUGAUAGGAGGGAACAUCACUAUGUAGUUUCAUGUUCAUAGUCAGAUCAAAACCCAUGUACAUGCCCAAAUGAGCAUUCGAAAAUAUCAAAAUGAUACUUGUUGUAUUUAGUGUAAG